UGUGGAUCUUAAGCGAUGCAGUGGGGUCUGAUGCGCAAGUAUACGUGGAACUAUAUGAGUGUAUUCUUAGCGGAUUGAAGCCGCGCUGCGGCUUGACAAAUUCGCGCCUUGGCUUUUAGCGCUGUCAGGCUUGCUUUGCGUUAUGCGAUGUAAUAGCGACUCGAGGGUGCGCGUCUUCGCCACAGUGCUCGUUGCUGCACCCGCGCUCUUGUUCGCAUAACGGAGUGUGACGAAGGCGCAUCAAUGCACCUUACAGCGCAGCUGACUUACAGUAGAGGUAUGCCGAUGUCGCCUGCUUCGUCGCCACCUGCAUGCAUGCCGUGCUGCAUACAGGUCUUCACAGAAAUACGGGAAGUUUGGUAAGCGCUCAAAGUAUUUAUCUUAUAUUCUGAUGACUUUUUUCUCAAAACUGUUUACUUGCCGUAAAAUCACACUUUUAAUUCUGCAUAAAAAAAACACUAUUCGGGGAAUGUGGUCAUUUUUAGUGCGAGUAUUCUUUGAAUUCGAGCAAUAAUGGCUGGGCGGCUGCUUCGUCGGCUCUAUGGUGAAGGCGGUGACGACGCGAUGAAUCAUGAAUCGUCUUGAGAACAAGAGUAACAUU